AAAGUACUCCCUCUGUUCGAAAAUACUUGGCAUCAAAAUGGAUAAAAACGAUGUAUCUAGAACUAAUAUACAUUUAGAUACAUCCCCUUUUUAUUCAUUUUGAUGACAAGUAUUUCCGGACGGAGGGAGUACUAC
rfam:Triticum urartu cultivar G1812 contig796875, whole genome shotgun sequence.